AGACACUUCUGUAUCCUUCCAGGGUGAAGCGUGGAGCACAGUGAAGAAAUACAUGAAGGAAUGUGAUACAAAUACAAAUGAGAAAUCAUGGCAGAAAUGACAGACAGCAAUUCUAGUGCCCAACACCAUUCUCUUCUCCAAGAUACCCAGCCCUGUGUCUUUUAUGGAAGCUGGGCAGAUGACUGCUUCUCAUCCUCAUCCUAGUACCUGGAGGAAUUGAAAGGCAAGUGACCCCUUUUCCACUCGGCCUUGGGGGCGGGGGGCGCUCAUUUUAGCAGAAUCCCUUAGACUAUCCAUUAUCUGCAGAGAUAUUCUGUGUUUCCUUCAAAUACCGUCCAUGGACAGUAGAAGACCUGGCUUAAUUCCAGCUCUGUCACCAAUUAACUGGACAUUUCUCUGACUCUCCGAUUCCCCCUCUGCAGUUGUACUGAAUGGUUGCACGGAAUGAUCUUUAAGGGCCCCAGGAGCUUAAGGACACCCACAGUCAUAAUAUCGACCAAGGGUUUCAUAGUCACAAUAUCACUUAACCCUGAUAGUCUGGGAGAUUAGAGCCACU
rnacentral:lncRNA from 1 species